rnacentral:lncRNA from 1 species
CCCCCCCCCCCCCGUAAACUCUGCGCUGGGGCCCCGGAGGGGACGAGGCUAAUAAUAUUUUAUCUGUUUCUAAAGAAAACAGUUACUGGGCUAGCUAGCAUUUAGCUUCAGAGACACGACAGAUCUUCUAAUACACCUUUUUUCCAUAAGAAGACUGCUCCUCUCAGCAGUUACGUACAUAAAUCAGGGUGGCAUAGGUUUCACCAUUACCAAGAUUCCUGGUAUCUCGUCUACAUCUUCUCUCUGAAGUGGUUCUCCUCUUUCUGCUUUCUAGGAUCCUGGGUGCACGCACAGCUGGUUUUCUGUCCACUUCGGCCUUCAGCCGCCCUCUCAGGAACUGAGCGCUCACCGUGUUUGCUCCAUUCAACAACUGCACUCUCGCUGUGGAUUAAACAGGAGUCAUUACUGUAUUUGCACUUUGAGAAGUCACUCAAACUUGAGCAAAACCUCCGAUCAGGCACUCCCCCUCUCUGUCCUGGCGAGACCUCUAGCCAGGAGGCGUCUGAAAUGCCGCCGCAGUCAAGGAGCCUCCAUGCACCCGAGAGAAAAAUUCCACGGCUGCAGCUGUUGUUCGACAAGCUUCUUUGAACACUUCUCUAAUGUCUUGCGCUGACCUCCAUCACCAUUAUUUUAUCCUGGCAUUAUCUGACUGACUUGUCAGCCAUUAUAUUAUGUCAGUUCUUCCUUGGAAAAGCUGUCCCUUCUGCAGGCAGUGCCAUACUGCAUCAUUAUUUGAGAUUUCCUUGCGCAGUAAGCUUUAGAUCAGGCAUCCCUGAAAUAUCAGAGUGCUGGGSUCUCACAGCUAGCUGCGUGCUGUACCCCUGUUUCUACGUUUGAGAAAUGCAUUCACUGGUGGUCUGUUUACAAUCCACUGAAUUUGGGUUUUAAUUUCAGAGAGUAGGAAACAAAACUGAGGUAGGGAGGUGAGAUCUUUUCGAAACCAUAAUGGACACAACCCCAGCUUUUUCKUAGGCCAGAGCAUCAUUUUUACUCUUUGAAGAAUAAGUUUUUCUUCUAGUUUUAGUAUUUACCUCAGGUCCCUGGUCUGCAGCCUUCUCUUACCAAGCCAGUUCAGUACAGUGGGUAAAGCACUAGGUUGGUGACRAGCGCUCAUCUCCA